UGUGAUCUCUAUGCAAUUAUCUUAUAGGUUAUUUGCUAUCUUAAUAUUUUACAAAACAAUUUGUAAAUUAUGGGCUUGUAUGUUAUAGACGUACAAUAAUACAUAACAUAUGAUAUGCUAUAUUCCUAAAGUAAUUGUUUUAAAAGUGCUUUUCUGCAACUAGCAUAUUGUUUGCGCUAUCAGCAUUCAGCACUACACUUGAAUAAGCCUUGUAGUUGAUUGUUUUUUUUUUUUUUCCUUCUUAGGCCCCACCAACCAAUUUGAUUUGAUUUGAUUUAGCAGGAGAUUAUAUUAAUAAGAAACUGCAGUAUCAUUAUAUAUAUGCUAAUCCUUAAUGGUUUUCCAACCGUCUACAUAUGAAACAUGUGUCAGGUUUUUCAUCUUUUUAUAUUCUCAUAGUAUAAAGCUUUAGAAGUUGUUCAUUAUUAUGUGAAUUCUUUAAUGAGAAUCUGUAGCAAAAGCUUUCUGUCUCCGGGAAUCAUCGCGAGCCAUAACCAUGUAACUUAGAGUUUACACUGCAUUAUUCAAGUUUGUAACUGAUACGGUAGUUUGUGUUCAGGUUUCUGUUUUGAGAGAAAUUAUACUGAGGACAUUGUGGAAUUAAGGGAGCACGUUCAAAUUACUGGCAUUAAGAGUUUGGCAGUGGAGGUUACUACUACAACAAACUUCUACCCGUAUGACUUUAUUUUCCCAAGCUUCACACCAAAAAGAGGCAAGCAGAACUUUAUCCAAUUGGUAUCCAUGGUGUACAAGGUCAAAACAUGCCCACUUAUUUCCUCUAGAAGUUAAGUAUUAUCCUUUACUUUCAUUCUCUUUUAUUUUAUUCUUUCCCUUUCAUUUUUUUUUUUGUUUUUUUUUCAACAUGAUAAUCUUGCUUGCAUAUGUGAUUUGGCUGUGUGCAGUAGGAAAACGGACUAACAGGGUGCACUAAGGAUGUGGAGUUACAAAUGAAAGCGGAAGCAGCCAAAUCAUACCUUCAGCAGUAGGAGAAUGGAAUUUCUUUCAUCCUUAUUCAAGGACUGUCUCACGUGUGGGGUGUAAGGGACUUCGGAGUAUUCUGUGGUUGAGAAACUACAAUGCAAACUGAUGCAGAAGAGCAUUUUGUAUAUUUUUCUCGGGUUUCCAGAUAGAGUAUUUAGUAGCAGCAAUUGAACAAAAGAGAAAUAAAAAGCUACUAGGCAACCGUAGUGUCAUGGCAUUUAGCCAUUUAAUCUGUUUGGCUUUUCAAAUCUUUAAUACAUCACUAGGAACACUUGGAUAAGUUCAUUGCUCAAGAUUGAAGAAAUAUAAAGCAUAAAAGAACAAGUAAUGAAGAAAUGUGCACUUGAUUUGCAAAGAUCAUACUUCAAACGCCGAUAUCUUUUAAUCUACAAAACAUUUUGGGGCGAUUCCUAUCGGAGAUGAAAGCUUAUCUUGAGAGCUUCCCAACGACAGGUCAUAUGCUCAAUUCCGAUGUAAAACGUGGGAGAUAUGCUCAUUUGAAGCUGAGCAGUUUGCCCAGUCCGCAGCCAGGAGCGCCCGCUCCUCAAGGCCGCACGCCCGCUCCUCACAGGGUGUGCAAUUUUGAAGUUUGGCUGAAGGUUUGGCAGAAAGUUUGGAGCGCUCGCUCCUGAGGGGUGCACGCCCGCUCCUCUACGCGCUGCUCGACUUUUUGCGGAGCUUCCUAGGCAAUUUAGUAAGGGCUAUAAAUAGAUUUUUUGCUCAUUUUAG